rnacentral:rRNA from 1 species
GACGAACGCUGGCGGCGUGCCUAAUACAUGCAAGUAGAACGCUGAAGAGAGGAGCUUGCUCUUCUUGGAUGAGUUGCGAACGGGUGAGUAACGCGUAGGUAACCUGCCUGGUAGCGGAGGAUAACUAUUGGAAACGAUAGCUGAUACCGCAUAAAAUUGAUUAUUGCAUGAUAAUUAAUUGAAAGAUGCAACUGCAUCACUACCAGAUGGACCUGCGUUGUAUUAGCUAGUUGGUGAGGUAACGGCUCACCAAGGCGACGAUACAUAGCCGACCUGAGAGGGUGAUCGGACACACUGGGACUGAGACACGGCCCAGACUCCUACGGGAGGCAGCAGUAGGGAAUAUUCGGCAAUGGGGGGAACCCUGACCGAGCAACGCCGCGUGAGUGAAGAAGGUUUUCGGAUCGUAAAGCUCUGUUGUAAGAGAAGAACGGGUGUGAGAGUGGAAAGUUCACACUGUGACGGUAUCUUACCAGAAAGGGACGGCUAACUACGUG